GGAUGAGGUAGAAAGCAAAAAAGAUAGAUACUGCAUGAUGGAAAUAAUCUUAGACCUCCAGUUCUUUUCCCAGGAUCAGCAGGAGCUUACACAUAUCUCAGAUUGUUACGGGAAAAAAGUCUCAAAGUUGACUAUGAAGCAAGGGAUUUUCUUGAUGGCCCAAAAUUGCAGAUUGAUGCCUUAAUGGGAAAAGCUAGUUGAUGAGAAGGAACUCUCAGGUUCAUUAUGAGAGACUUGACUGGGACACUGAUGCUGUGGUUGUAGGAUAUGAAUUCAAAUAUUGUGUGUUCUAGAGUGGACUGGUGGGCUGACCCAAGCCCAAUACCACCUCCUCGACUAUAUAAGUCUCACAUCAUCACCUAUGAAGGUUCAACAAGGUUCAACGGUGAUUUCAAAACUGAAAUCUCAUGGAACUGUUAGUGUUGAAAGCAUGCUAGUGGGUAAAGGAAAGGUUGAUGGUUCAGGUGUUGGUGUGGCUUCAUGCACGAAUCAGAGCAACUUUUUAUCCCAAAUUUAAAAAUGAAAAGUCAGAUCAAGGUGUAUAUGUUUCCUCUCAGUUUUUUAUGUUUUGAUUUCAACAUAGGUUAUGUAUCAAUUUUGUCAUUUAUCAAUUUUUGUAGGAUAUGAGUGGAGGUUAUGUUUUUCUUCGUAAUAAUUGUUUGAGUGUUAGCCUUAUGGGAUAUUAGACAAUCAAACACAAUUGUUUCAAGCACAUUCAAAAGAAACUGGUAUGCUCUAUGCCGAGACCCUGAAGCUGAAAGAUAAAAUUCGUCUGCUAUGGUAAUUUUUAUUUUCAUUCCACAUAUUUGUGUUGAUGCAUAUUCAGAUACUCAUUUUCUCUUUUUUGAUUAUUCAACAACAUUCAAUCUUAUGCUUGAUAAAAACAAUAUAACCUAACGUGUUUUGUCCUAAGACCCUAUUUGUCCUAACGUGUUUUGUCCUAAGACCCAUGCAUGUCAAUCCUAUCCAGACUUUAAUAGGUUUAUGCUCUGAUAAAUGACAAUGUUUUAUGUCAUCAUAUAAGUAUAUGGAUAAUUAGUUAACAAUGUGAAUGCUAGUUCCAUUAUUGGUUGAAAAUAUUAUUCUUGUUGAGCGUACAAGUGGUAACACUAGAUAGGAUUAAAAUUCAUAGCAGUCAACAUUGAGGGCCUGUAUACUUUAAGCAGUUGAUGAAGUUCUUUAAAAGAAGGAAGAGAUAGAAGCCAAAAUGCCAAAUAGUUAUAGCCAAAAGAAGGAAGAGAUAGUAGCUAAAAUUCUUGUAAUUUGGAUUUUGGAGAUUCAUGAUGAGAGACUUGACUGGAAUAUUGAUGCUAUGGUUGUAGAGUGGACCGUUAGGAUGGUCCAAGAAGCCCAAUACCACCUUCUUCUGGACUAUAUAAGCCUCGCAUCAUCAUCACCUAUGAAGAUUUACAGGGUUGUUCAAUCCAAAUUCAGUACAGAUUCAAUGACUUUAGCAUCAAUGUUGCAGAUCCGGAUACAUGAUUAUUCCGGACAUUUGAAGUUUGUCAAAUCAAUUGUAGGCUUUGUCAAUGACAUUAGGCCGUUUUAUGUUGUUAACUCGGAUGCUGUGAGCCUGUUUGCAGAUUCAUCCUUAUUAGUUUUUAGCGAAAUUGAAUAUGUAAUGAUUUCGAUUGAUGUAU